UGGGGAAUAUUGGACAAUGGGCGCAAGCCUGAUCCAGCCAUGCCGCGUGAGUGAUGAAGGCCUUCGGGUUGUAAAGCUCUUUUAGCGGGGACGAUGAUGACGGUACCCGCAGAAUAAGCCCCGGCUAACUUCGUGCCAGCAGCCGCGGUAAGACGAAGGGGGCAAGCGUUGUUCGGAAUUACUGGGCGUAAAGGGCGCGUAGGCGGUCUUGUUAGUCAGGCGUGAAAGCCCUGGGCUUAACCUAGGAUGUGCGCUUGAUACUGCGAGGCUUGAGUGUGGGAGAGGUUGGUGGAAUUCCCAGUGUAGAGGUGAAAUUCGUAGAUAUUGGGAAGAACACCGGUGGCGAAGGCGGCCAACUGGACCACAACUGACGCUGAGGCGCGAAAGCGUGGGGAGCAAACAG
rnacentral:rRNA from 1 species